GACGUAGGGCGCGAGCGUUGUCCGGAUUUAUUGGGCGUAAAGAGCUCGUAGGCGGCUUGUCGCGUCGACCGUGAAAACUUGGGGCUCAACCCCAAGCCUGCGGUCGAUACGGGCAGGCUCGAGUUUGGUAGGGGAGACUGGAAUUCCUGGUGUAGCGGUGAAAUGCGCAGAUAUCAGGAGGAACACCGAUGGCGAAGGCAGGUCUCUGGGCCGAUGCUGACGCUGAGGAGCGAAAGCGUGGGGAGCGAACAGG
rnacentral:rRNA from 1 species